rnacentral:rRNA from 1 species
UACGAAGGGGACUAGCGUUGUUCGGAAUCACUGGGCGUGAAGCGCACGUAGGCGGAUUUGUAAGUCAGGGGUGAAAUCCCGGGGCUCAACCUCGGAACUGCCUUUGAUACUGCGGAUCUUGAGUCCGAUAGAGGUGGGUGGAAUUCCUAGUGUAGAGGUGAAAUUCGUAGAUAUUAGGAAGAACACCGGUGGCGAAGGCGGCCCACUGGAUCGGUACUGACGCUGAGGUGCGAAAGCGUGGGGAGCAAACAGG